rnacentral:rRNA from 1 species
AUUGAACGCUGGCGGCAUGCCUUACACAUGCAAGUCGAACGGCAGCACGGGUGCUUGCACCUGGUGGCGAGUGGCGAACGGGUGAGUAAUACAUCGGAACAUGUCCUGUAGUGGGGGAUAGCCCGGCGAAAGCCGGAUUAAUACCGCAUACGAUCUACGGAUGAAAGCGGGGGACCUUCGGGCCUCGCGCUAUCGGGUUGGCCGAUGGCUGAUUAGCUAGUUGGUGGGGUAAAGGCCUACCAAGGCGACGAUCAGUAGCUGGUCUGAGAGGACGACCAGCCACACUGGGACUGAGACACGGCCCAGACUCCUACGGGAGGCAGCAGUGGGGAAGUUUGGACAAUGGGCCAAAUCCUGAUCCAGCAAUGCCGCGUGUGUGAAGAAGGCCUUCGGGUUGUAAAGCACUUUUGUCCGGAAAGAAAUCCUUGGCCCUAAUACGGUCGGGGGAUGACGGUACCGGAAGAAUAAGCACCGGCUAACUACGUG